GACAGAAGGUGCGAACGUUGUUCGGAAUUACUGGGCGUAAAGCGCGUGUAGGCGGCAGCGCAAGUCGGGCGUGAAAUCCCACGGCUCAACCGUGGAAGUGCACUCGAAACUGCGCAGCUAGAGUCCUGGAGAAGAAGGUGGAAUGCUUGGUGUAGAGGUGAAAUUCGUAGAUAUCAAGCGGAACACCGGUGGCGAAGGCGACCUUCUGGACAGUGACUGACGCUGAGACGCGAAAGCGUGGGGAGCAAACAGG
rnacentral:rRNA from 1 species